rnacentral:rRNA from 1 species
GUAGGGGAUCUUCGGACCUUACGUUAUAAGAGCGGCCGAUAUCUGAUUAGCUAGUUGGUGGGGUAAUGGCCUACCAAGGCGACGAUCAGUAGCUGGUCUGAGAGGACGACCAGCCACACUGGAACUGAGACACGGUCCAGACUCCUACGGGAGGCAGCAGUGGGGAAUUUUGGACAAUGGGCGCAAGCCUGAUCCAGCCAUUCCGCGUGAGUGAAGAAGGCCUUCGGGUUGUAAAGCUCUUUCGCAAGGGAAGAAAACUUACAUUCUAAUAAAGUGUGAGGCUGACGGUACCUUGAUAAGAAGCACCGGCUAACUACGUGCCAGCAGCCGCGGUAAUACGUAGGGUGCGAGCGUUAAUCGGAAUUACUGGGCGUAAAGCGUGCGCAGGCGGUUUUGUAAGUCAGAUGUGAAAUCCCCGAGCUCAACUUGGGAACUGCGUUUGAAACUACAAGACUAGAAUAUGUCAGAGGGGGGUAGAAUUCCACGUGUAGCAGUGAAAUGCGUAGAGAUGUGGAGGAAUACCAAUGGCGAAGGCAGCCCCCUGGGAUAAUAUUGACGCUCAUGCACGAAAGCGUGGGGAGCAAACAGGAUUAGAUACCCUGGUAGUCCACGCCCUAAACGAUGUCUACUAGUUGUUGGUGGAGUAAAAUCCAUGAGUAACGCAGCUAACGCGUGAAGUAGACCGC